rnacentral:rRNA from 1 species
UACGUAGGCAGCAAGCGUUGUUCGGAGUUACUGGGCGUAAAGGGUGUGUAGGCGGUUAUUUAAGUUUGGUGUGAAAUCUCCCGGCUCAACCGGGAGGGUGCGCCGAAUACUGAAUGACUUGGAGUGCGGGAGAGGAAAGUGGAAUUCCUGGUGUAGCGGUGAAAUGCGUAGAUAUCAGGAGGAACACCGGUGGUGUAGACGGCUUCUGGACCGGAACUGACGCUGAGACACGAAAGCGUGGGGAGCGAACAGG